AAAAUAAAGGAGAGCUGUAGAUUGGGCAGAUAAAAGGGAAAGUGGAUCUUUGGUGAAGUUUAGCUGGCUGUAAUUCCACAUACAAAGUUAAGGUGUGCUGUCUGAUUCUUAUGUCAACUUGACCCAGGCUAGAGUCAUCUGAGAGGGAGGAACCCCAAUUAAGAAAAAUACCUCCAUAAAACUUGGCUGUAGCCUAAAAUCAGAUUCCUGCCUGAGCUUACUUCCUCGUCCUGGCCCGAUGUCAGAUUCCUGCCAAGGGGCCCCAAAAGCUUUCCACAAAACUUUGUGUGUGAAUUGAUCCGGAGCAAAGUCUGUUAGUGUCAUCUACCACUGUACCUAGCAGUGGAGACCAGUCUGGCUACGUACGAUGUUUCCUCCUAAUGGUCACAGCGUCAACUUGGCCGAUCAGGAUGAUCAUGGGGAUGAUGCCCCAUUACAACCUGAGCAUCCUUUCAAUUCCCCCUAAACAUAGGAUGAUCUGGGGCUGGAGAAAUGAAUGGCUCAGUGGUUAAGGCACUGACUGCUCUUCCAAAGGUCCUGAGUUCAAAUCCCAGAAACCACAUGGUGGCUCAUAACCACCUGUCAUGAGAUCAGACGUCCUCUUCUGGUGCGUCUGAAGUCAGCUACCCUAAGUCCCAGAAACUAGGCCUUAAGACAGCAGCUCCAGGGACAGACCAUAAAAUCCAGAAAAAGAUCAUAAAACCCCCUCCCAAAGAACAGCCUGGGGACAACCUCAAGAAUGGGGAAAUAGCUUAUCUCAUAAUAGGCCAUCUUCUAAGGGCAGUCCUAUUUUAUCACAUGAUAUAGGAAUGCAGACCACCGAUCACCUGUGACCCUCACCCCCAGUACCCACCAAUGAGAUUUUAGAUUACCUAAUCCUUCUAGAGAGCUGCCCCAUAAAAUGUUCUUCCCUAUAAGAAGGCCUGUGUGCCUCUGUCUGGGGUCUAGAGAAUGGUUGCUCCCAGCAUGCUGGAUUUUUCUGAAGAAUAAAUGUUCUUUAUUUUUGCAUACU
rnacentral:lncRNA from 1 species